CACCACAGGGCCCCCCAGUUCACCCUCAACCGGCCCCAGUCCCUCUACCUUGGGACCCUGUCCUUCCUUGAUCGACCCCGACUUCAUAGAGAGGUACAGAAGACUGAACCCUUCUACUUUUGCAGGGGAAUCCUCUUUUGAAGAGGCCCAAUACUGGCUGGCAGAGACUGAGAGAGCUUUCGAGACCUUGGGAGUAGUUCCUGAGCAGAGGGCUGUCAUUGCCUCCUACAUGCUGGUAGGGGAAGCAGUACGCUGGUGGGAGCUCA
rnacentral:lncRNA from 1 species